UAGGGCCAUAUCAUGUUGAAACACCAGUACCCAUACAAUCACCAAAAUUAAGCAAUAUUGAGCCUAGUCAGUACCCCGAUGUGUGACUGCUUGGGAAUACCAGGUGUUGUAA